rnacentral:rRNA from 1 species
AGUAACGCGUGGGCAACCUGCCUUAUACAGGGGGAUAACAGCUGGAAACAGCUGCUAAUACCGCAUAAGCGCACAGCGGCGCAUGACGCAGUGUGAAAACUGAGGUGGUAUAAGAUGGGCCCGCGUCUGAUUAGCUGGUUGGGAGGGUAACGGCCUACCAAGGCGACGAUCAGUAGCCGGCCUGAGAGGGCGGACGGCCACAUUGGGACUGAGACACGGCCCAGACUCCUACGGAAGGCAGCAG